AGAACGAACGCUGGCGGCAGGCCUCAAACAUGCAAGUCUAGGGGGUGUAGCAAUACAUCACCGGCGGACGGGUGCGUAACACGUGGGAAUAUACCUUUUGGUUCGGAACAACGCAGGGAAACUUGCGCUAAUACCGAAUGUGCCCUUACGGGGAAAGAUUUAUCGCCAAAGGAUUAGCCCGCGUAGGAUUAGCUAGUUGGUGAGGUAAUGGCUCACCAAGGCUCCGAUCCUUAGCUGUUCUGAGAGGAAGAUCAGCCACACUGGGACUGAGACACGGCCCAGACUCCUACGGGAGGCAGCAGUGGGGAAUCUUGCGCAAUGGGCGAAAGCCUGACGCAGCAACGCCGCGUGAGGGACGAAGGCCUUCGGGUUGUAAACCUCUUUCAGCAGGACGAUUGUGACGGUACCUGCAGAAGAAGCCCCGGCCAACUACGUGCCAGCACGCCGC
rnacentral:rRNA from 1 species